GACGAACGCUGGCGGCGUGCUUAACACAUGCAAGUCGAGCGGAAAGGCCCUUCGGGGUACUCGAGCGGCGAACGGGUGAGUAACACGUGAGUAACCUGACCCAGACUUUGGGAUAACCCUCGGAAACGGGGGCUAAUACCGGAUACGACACAGCUUCGCAUGGGGUCUGUGUGGAAAGUUUUUCGGUUUGGGAUGGGCUCGCGGCAUAUCAGCUUGUUGGUGGGGUGAUGGCCUACCAAGGCGACGACGGGUAGCCGGCCUGAGAGGGCGACCGGCCACACUGGGACUGAGACACGGCCCAGACUCCUACGGGAGGCAGCAGUGGGGAAUAUUGCACAAUGGGCGGAAGCCUGAUGCAGCGACGCCGCGUGAGGGAUGACGGCCUUCGGGUUGUAAACCUCUUUCAGCAGGGACGAAGCGUAAGUGACGGUACCUGCAGAAGAAGCGCCGGCCAACUACGUG
rnacentral:rRNA from 1 species